GAUGAACGCUGGCGGCGUGCCUAAUACAUGCAAGUCGAGCGAACAGAUGAGGAUCUUGCUCCUCUGACGUUAGCGGCGGACGGGUGAGUAACACGUGUAUAACCUACCUAUAAGACUGGGAUAACUUCGGGAAACCGGAGCUAAUACCGGAUAAUAUAUUGAACCGCAUGGUUCAAUAGUGAAAUUCGGUUUUUCUGUCACUUAUAGAUUGAUCCGCGCCGCAUUAGCUAGUUGGUAAGGUAACGGCUUACCAAGGCAACGAUGCGUAGCCGACCUGAGAGGGUGAUCGGCCACACUGGAACUGAGACACGGUCCAGACUCCUACGGGAGGCAGCAGUAGGGAAUCUUCCGCAAUGGGCGAAAGCCUGACGGAGCAACGCCGCGUGAGUGAUGAAGGUCUUCGGAUCGUAAAACUCUGUUAUUAGGGAAGAACAAAUGUGUAAGUAACUAUGCACGUCUUGACGGUACCUAAUCAGAAAGCCACGGCUAACUACGUG
rnacentral:rRNA from 1 species